GAGGACGGGUCAUCCUCCUCUUUAUAACAACUUUAAAGAGAAGCUGAGAUCCGUGCUCAGGAUGCAGAGGAGAGAUCAGAAAGUCUGGAUGAGCAUCUGGAAGAAGCUCUGGGGAGAAUCCAGGAUCUAGAGAAACAGCUGGAAAAAGCACUCAAAGCCCAGGAAGUAGCACCAAAACCAGAAGUCCCUUCCCAAGAAGAAUCCAAGCCAACUUCUCAUAAACCAUCUGCCGCUGCCCGGUCCAGGAAAACCAGCAGACCCAAACAUUAAAGAGUAGCAAUGCCCAGCGAAAGUCGUUUGGUUCCCAUUUGUAGUAGACUUUCAGCAUAACACUGCCCAUCUCUGGGGCUCCAGAUACACUUUAAUUCCAAGUUCUUUAGUAUAGCAAAAUGACUGGAACACCCUCUAAUGCACCCUCCCAAGGAGAGCUUUAGACAAAGCACUGGAGAGGAUCUUUUCUUGGUUUAUAAAUUAUCUGAAAACCUCACGCUGGGUAAUGCAGUGUUUUAGUGUAGUUGCCAGUCAUAAGUGGAGACUGGACUAGAACAGAACUUGUAGAAAAGGCUUUCAGGCCUUCUCAAUGUAUCUGUUAGUAGAGUCUUUUAAGAGAUCAGGUCAUAAACUUAUCACAGGCUAGCUGUACUGCCUCAGUUGGAACUUUGGGAUAAAUUGUCCAGAUCUCAGAUCCAUUCAUAAGUGCUCAGC
rnacentral:lncRNA from 1 species